AGGAUCAUCAGUUCCACAUAUAAAGGAAAUAAAAAUAAGCUUUAAGGUGUUUUGUGAAAAUGUGCACUGGUUCAGGUAAGAAUAUUAACAAUGUAAACUGACUAUAGAAACAUAGCCAAUGUUUUGUGUAGACCACAACAUGAUUUCAGAUUAAAUGCAUCAAUGUUUUCUUGUUCCAGGUGGAGAAUAUUGUUCGGUUCCUGUAUUUCAUGGACCCCAGCAGCUGAGCCUCCUGUUCACCAGCAUGGAUGCUCUCUGGAGUCUUUCAACAAGCUCUUGCAGGCCGGACUCAGCAAGCAGCAGCUCCAUCAAAGCAAGUCAGUAAAGAAGUGAUGAGAGAUUCUUACUGAGGUGAUGUUUUCCACAUUCAGUGCUGGGCAUGCUAGAGGCCAUCAAGAAAGACUUCCUGGCUGUCUUGUGGAAACUAAGUGGGCUGGGGUAUGUUGUCCUCCAUCAGCUGACCUAGCCAGAAUGCUUGUCAUGGUUUUGAUGUAUUUAUUUGAUUUCUGUUAACAACCUCAAUUUACCGAACAUGUACUGCAACACAUGUGGCCACCUUCACCCUCUCCCAAGAGUUGAUGGUAAGACCCUGAAUCAACACUUGUAUUAUACACAGAGGUGAGUCCAGUUAUGCUAGCAAGAAGCGUAAGUAUGAUGGGGUUGACCAGUGGGAGGAGAGGUUCUUCCUUUGAGUGUGGGAUGGUAUCCAUCCCUCACAAGAUGCUGCUCUCACUACUUUCAGCACAGCUCACGGUCUCAGAACAGGUUAAGUUAAUGGUUGCCAAUCCUACCUAUUGUUCUUCUGGGUUAGCAGUAGUUUUCAACUUGCCACUCUUCCGUGGAUGCCAUUUUUGCCAUGUGUCUUCUUUUUGUGAUUUCCUGAAUGAAUGGUUGCUGUGCUCUUGGAGAAAUUCUGGAUAGAUCAGUCUGUGAAGGAUUACAAAACUAUUUCCA